AUUGAACGCUGGCGGCAUGCCUUACACAUGCAAGUCGAACGGUAACAGGUCUUCGGAUGCUGACGAGUGGCGAACGGGUGAGUAAUACAUCGGAACGUGCCUAGUAGUGGGGGAUAACUACUCGAAAGAGUGGCUAAUACCGCAUGAGAUCUACGGAUGAAAGCAGGGGAUCGCAAGACCUUGUGCUACUAGAGCGGCCGAUGGCAGAUUAGGUAGUUGGUGGGAUAAAAGCUUACCAAGCCGACGAUCUGUAGCUAGUCUGAGAGGACGAUCAGCCACACUGGGACUGAGAAACGGCCCAGACUCCUACGGGAGGCAGCAGUGGGGAAUUUUGGACAAUGGGCGCAAGCCUGAUCCAGCAAUGCCGCGUGCAGGAUGAAGGCCUUCGGGUUGUAAACUGCUUUUGUACGGAACGAAAAGCCCCGGGUUAAUACCCUGGGGUCAUGACGGAACCGUAAGAAUAAGCACCGGCUAACUACGUGCCAGCCGCCGCCGUAA
rnacentral:rRNA from 1 species